rnacentral:lncRNA from 1 species
GUCGGGGUGUGUAUCACGUGGGCUGUUCAAACGCCGAGAAACCGUAAGCCACCCAUUCACGGGACUACACAGGGAGGAGGGUUGCUAUCACUGAGAAGCAAAUGGUUGGCAGUGAUGAUAAUAGGAAGAAAUUCCCUAAAGACUAUGAAAAAGGACUUCAGAGUCUUGGGGUGACAGGUAAAGGGUUCGGGAGUACAAGUUGUGUUCUCCUCUAUCCCUCCAGUUAUAGGGAACAAUGAGGGACUAAAACUGAUGGGCCAAUGGAUUAAUACCUGGCUCCAAGCCUGGUGUUCCUGGCAGGGGUUUGUGUUUUUUGACCUCUGCUCUGUUUGCAUGAGACCAGGCCAGCUGGGAACCUAUAGGAGUAGCUUCUCCCACUGGUGGAUAGGGGCCUUAAGACAGGAGUUGGGAAGGUUCAUUCAUAGAGCUUUAAACUAGGUAUGAAGGGAGGUGGGGGUGUAACUGGGGUCACUAGAACGGAGCCUGUAUGUAACAUCUCAGUGCUUGUAGAAGAGGGAUGUGAUAGUAAGAUCCCCCAGUCUUGUGUCUCGGUGAAGGAGGAUGACUCCUUUUGUAGGAAGAACACAAGGGUUGAUGUGAGGUUGGUGGCUGUGGAAACACCUGAGUAUCGUCAUGAGGGUAUUAGGGCACCUGCCACUCAAAAGGAGGCCCAGCUCAGGUACCUUUACACUAACGCACACAGCACGAGUAAUAAACAGGAGGAGCCGGAGGCCACUGUGUGGUCGGAAAGCUAUGAUACAGUCACCAUCAUGGAAACAUGGUGGAAUGGCUCGCACAGCUGGCAUGCUAUGAUGGAUGGCUCCCGACUUUUCAAAAGAGACAGGCAAGACAGGAAGGGUGGUGGUGUAGCCUUCUAUGUUAAGAAUGUGAACAUAUGGAAACUAAUGAUGAUGAUGAUAGGGUUGAGAACUUAUGGGUCAGAAUAAAAGCAAAGGCCAAUAAGACUGAUAUUAUCAUGGGAGUCUGCUACAGGCCAUCCAGCCAGGAUGAAGAGGUGGACAAGACACUUUAUAGACAGUUGGGUGAGGUCUCAAGGUUUCUCCCCCUUGUUCUUACGGGGGACUUCAACUUCCCAGACAUCUGCUGGAUUUAUAAUACAGCAGAUAAAUAACAGUCCUGGAGGUUCCUAGAGAGUGUGGGAGAUAACUUCCUGACACAGCUGGUGAGGGAGCCAAUGAGGGGAAGCAAAAUCCUGGACCUGCUGUUUGUUAACAGAGAAGGUCUUGUGAGGGAUGUAAAGGUUGGAGGCCAUCUGGGGCAUAGUGAUCAUGAGAAGCUAGAUUUCUUGAUCCUUGUUGAAACCACAGAGGGGAGUCAACAGAACUGUCACCUUGGACUUCGGGAGGGCAGACUUAAACCUCUUUAGGACCAUGGUUGAGAGGGUCCCUUGGGAGUAGUUUUGAAGAACGUGGGAGCCCAGGAAGGCUGGGAAUACUUUAAGGAAGUUAUUUUAGAGGUGCAGGAGCUGACCAUCCUCAAGUCACAGAAGACAAAUCGACGAGCAAAGAGGCCACACUGGCUGAACAGAGACCUUUGGCUGGAUCUCAAGAACAAAAAGAAAGUUUAUGGUCUCUGAAAGAGUAGGCAAGCUACUUAUGAUGAUUACAGGUAUGUAGUGAAGCUGUGCAGGGAGAAAAUUAGAAAAGCCAAAGCCCAGCUAGAACUGAACUUGGCCACUAAGGUAAAGGAAAACAAUAAAUAUUUUUAUAAAUACAUCAACAGCAAGAGGAGAGCUAGGGAGAAUCUCCAUCCCUUGUUGUAUGCCGAAGGCAAUUUGGUGACACAAGGAUCAGGAUGAGGCUGAGGUACUUAAUGCCUUCUUUGUCUCAGUCUUUAAUAGUAAGACUUGUUAUGCCCUGGGAACACAGCCUCCUGUGCUGGUAGGUAGGGAGGGGGAACAGAAUAAGCCCUGCAUGAUCCAUGAUGAGGUGGUUUUGGACCUGCUCCAAAAGCUGGAUGCUCACAAGUCCAUUGGGCUGGAUGGACUGCACCUUGGAGUGCUGAGGGAGUUGGUGGAUGUGGUUGCCAAGCCACUCUCCAUCAUUCUCCCGCAGUCCUGGCUAACCGGGGAUGUCCCAGCAGACUGUAGACUGGCAAAUGUGACACCCAUCUUCAGAAAGAGCUGGAAAAAUGAUCCUGCUAGCUACAGACCUAUCAGUUUCACCUCGGUGCCGGGGAAUGUUAUGGAAUGGAUAAUCUCAGGACUCAUCAUGGACCAGUAAAGGUCAACCAGGGGAUCAGGCCCAGUCAGCAUGGGUUUACAAAUGGUAGAUCCUGUCUGACAAACCUGAUUUCAUUCCAUAACAAGGUGACACACUUGGUGGAUGAAGGUAAGGCUGUCGAUGUGGUUUACCUGGACUUCAGUAAGGCCUUUGACACUGUUCCCCACAACAUCCUCGUGGAGAAGCUGGCUGCCCACAGUUUGGAUGGGCAUUCGCUCUGUUGGGUGAAACAUUGGCUGGAUGGCUGGGCCAAAAGAGCUGUGGUCAGUGGAGUUAAAUCCAGUUGGUGACCAGUCAUGAGUGGUGUCCCCCACAGCUCAGUACUGGGGCUGCUUCUAUUUAAUAUCUUUAUUAAUGAUCUUGAUGAGGGGAUUGAUGACUCUUUGUCUCGCUCCAAUUUAUAGGAGGGAGAGGAGGUUCUUUGAAAUAUGUAUGCCCGGCGUGAGAUUAAGAAACAACGGUUCAAAUGUUGGUCCGACC